UGCUUAAAUCUUUUUACUCUCUGAGUUAUGAAUUUAGGUUAGUUCUACAUCCAAGAUAAAUCUCAAUUAAUUCUUCUUUUUUCUUUUCCCAUUUCCUCCUGUCUCCCUCUCUUCUUUCCUUCUACUCUUUUCUUCACUUUUCUCUCUCUCUUCUUCUCAGUUUUUAUUUUUGUAAUUUGAAAUCAAUGUGCAAGCCAGAGCUUCUUUAGGAAAGACCAUUCCUGAGAGAACAACAGGAAGAAAUAUGAAUGUUAAACAUGUGGUGCCGUGUGGAAGCAAAGCUCCAUAAUUAAUCUAUAGAGCCAUCACCACUGUCAAAAGCAGAAAGGCCCCAGAGGAAAUAAUUUUUGUAUAGAAUGAUGGCAGCAUUAGUGACAGCAGUAAUGAUAAGACACUGAAAAGUAUGUGAAAAUUUCCUUUACAAUCCUGUGUGAGGUUUAAUUAUAAAAACUAGUAUCUUGGACACUUAACUAUUUUUUUUCAGAGGGAAUCAGAGCUAUUUCCAUGAAUUAAUGUCUUAAUCCCCACAACAAUGAGGUCGUGGUCAUCUAGUUGUAGAAUGACUCCUGCCUGCUACAUUUCCCCAGAUACCCAGGACCUUCAUGCUGUCACUCUCCAUGACCUGACCAACAUCUAUUUUGAGAAAUUAUUUUAUAUACUCAUUCAAACAGUCAUCUUUUGUGUCCAGAGUUGGUUCCUUCUGGUGGGUUCGUGGUCUCGCUAACUUCAAGAAUGGAGCCACGGACCUUCGCGAUUUACAUACAAAUGAACCACCAAUGUCCCCUUCUAUCAACUCAGAAUAAAAUCUGGUUUUAGCAUAUGCAGUCCUACGAGACAUGGUUAAAGGAUAUGAAUGAUAGAUAGAGAUAAAAGAAAUCAAGGACCAUUCCUCCACAAGUCUCCAAAGAGGAAAACAACAAUCGAAGAAAAAAGAGUGAGAGAACAGAUGGGCUGGCAGAGUUUUGCUUUCUAUGUGACAUUGUGUACUUAUUAUUCGCAUGAGGACUAAUUUAUAAACCCGGAUAGUGUUUAUAAACUAUACUGUCCUAAUGGAAAUGAAAGCAUUAAUACAACUAGAAGAUUCUUUACUUUCCAAGCUUUAAUUAAAAUCACAGGCGUUAAGAAGCAAAAGUGCCUUCAUGGAAUACAAGCCUAAUGAAGGAUUUCCUUGCCUAGCACAGAGCUCUGUGUGCAGUCCCAGCUUGCUGGCACCAGCCACUGGAAAAGCCGACCCCCGUGUAACCAAAAGAGCUCUCUCUGAAAAUUAGAAAAGCAAAUCAUACCACACAUUUUUUUUUUCAAAUAAAUAUAGUUGCCAAGUCAGAUCCAGGAAAAACAAUAGCACGUCAUAAGUAAAACACACACACACACACACAGACACAGACACAGACACACACACACACACACAGCCUUAGAACAUGCUAUGUUAAUUAGCUACCUGGAAGACCAGAGGCAAAUGUGUUUGUUCUAUGCGCUGAACACUUAAAAGGGAGAGGGAAAGGUGUCAGCUUGGGAAAGAGGAAUGUGGAAAUAUGGCAAAGACAAUCUAAGAGGAGAGAGAGAAAGGAAACAAGAGGAAAGGAUUCGACAGAGGAAUUUCACAACAGCAUAGAAGAAUAGAUCAGGAGUUUUGCUACCAAAUAAUGGAGAAAAAAUACACAGAAGCCUAGGAAGUGACCUUGAUUAAAACGCCCACCAUGUGAAUGCUACUCAGCCGACACACUCAUUUUGCCUCUUAAAGGUAUCACCUCAUUUAUGUGUAGGCAAAUUAAGGUUGUAGUGGAAUUAAACUGUCUUCCCUGUAAAUCAGACAGCAAAAAGGAACAGGGAGCUACAUAUAUAUAUUAUAUAUAUGUAGUUACCACCUGCUUUGUUUAGUGAUGAUGAUAAUGGUGAUAAUGAUGAUGCUUGUUAACGAUAAUGACAUAAAUGAUGACAGUAUAUGCAAUAUAUUAAGUACCAAUGUUAGGUUAGGUAAUAUGCUAGGUGUUUUACAAGGAUCAUUUCUAAUUCAUAGAACAACUCUGGGAGAUAGGUGUUAUUUACCACUUAAUAGUAUAUACAUAUACAUUACCCCAAAUUAUACAACUAUUGAGUGACAGCCUGUAUUUGAAGGAGCGCUUUAAACGAACAGGAUUUUUAUUUUAUUAUUUAUUUAUUUAUUUAUUUUGAGACAGGGUCUCACUCUGUUGCCCAG
rnacentral:lncRNA from 1 species